rnacentral:misc_RNA from 1 species
GAAAUGCGAUAAGUAGUGUGAAUUGCAGAAUUCAGUAAAUCAUCGAAUCUUUGAACGCACAUUGCGCCCCUUGGUAUUCCAUGGGGCAUGCCUGUUCGAGCGUCAUUUGUACCCUCAAGCUCUGCUUGGUGUUGGGUGUUUGUCCCCGUCUCCGCGCGUGGACUCGCCCCAAAGUGAUUGGCAGCCGGCGUACUGGUCCCGGAGCGCAGCACAUGUCGCGCAAACGAGUGCCUUGGUACGGCGGCGUCCAUAAGCCCCUCUCUCACGCUCUUGACCUCGGAUCAGGUAGGGAUACCCGCUGAACUUAAGC